AAUUUGAGGGAUUCUCUUGCUGAAGCAAAAUCUGACAUUGUAGUAAAGAUUGGGCUGAGGAAGGGCUCCCGCUCUUUUGCUGAAGCUCGUGCUGCUGGGUUCGCUGAAGAGAGUGGAACUCUGGGAGACAUAUGGGAAACUAUUGCUGGCAGUGAUCUUGUCUUGUUAUUGAUUUCUGAUGCAGCACAGGCAGAUAACUAUGAAAAGAUAUUCUCCCACAUGAAACCAAACAGCAUCCUUGGGCUCUCCCAUGGUUUUCUUCUUGGACAUUUGCAAUCCUUGGGGCUUGAUUUUCCUAAGAACAUAAGCGUUAUUGCUGUUUGCCCCAAGGGGAUGGGGCCUUCUGUACGGAGACUCUAUGUUCAGGGCAAAG
rnacentral:misc_RNA from 1 species